AGAGUUGAUUCUGGCUCAGGAUGAACGCUAGCGACAGGCUAACACAUGCAAGUCGAGGGCGAGCACGGGAGUAGCAAUACAACUGGUGGCGACCGGCGCACGGGUGAGUAACGCGUAUGCAACCUACCUAUCAGAGGGGAAUAACCCGGCGAAAGUCGGACUAAUACCGCAUAAAACAGGGGCACCGCAUGGUGAUAUUUGUUAAAGAAAUUCGCUGAUAGAUGGGCAUGCGUUCCAUUAGGUAGUUGGUGAGGUAACGGCUCACCAAGCCGACGAUGGAUAGGGGAACUGAGAGGUUGGUCCCCCACACUGGUACUGAGACACGGACCAGACUCCUACGGGAGGCAGCAGUGAGGAAUAUUGGUCAAUGGGCGGGAGCCUGAACCAGCCAAGUCGCGUGGAAAAGGAAGAAGGAUCUAUGGUUCGUAAACUUCUUUGCAGGGGAAUAAAGUGCAGGACGUGUCCUGUUUUGUAUGUACCCUGAGAAUAAGGAUCGGCUAACUCCGUGCCAGCAGCAGC
rnacentral:rRNA from 1 species